CUAGAGUACACAUGUAGCUAAGUUAAAAGGAGCAAAUGCUUCACUAUGAGAUGGACCUGCGUUGUAUUAGCUAGUUGGUGAGGUAACGGCUCACCAAGGCGACGAUACAUAGCCGACCUGAGAGGGUGAUCGGCCACACUGGGACUGAGACACGGCCCAGACUCCUACGGGAGGCAGCAGUAGGGAAUCUUCGGCAAUGGACGGAAGUCUGACCGAGCAACGCCGCGUGAGUGAAGAAGGUUUUCGGAUCGUAAAGCUCUGUUGUUAGAGAAGAACGGUAAUGGGAGUGGAAAAUCC
rnacentral:rRNA from 1 species